UACGAAGGGGGCUAGCGUUGUUCGGAAUUACUGGGCGUAAAGCGCGUGUAGGCGGAUCGGUAAGUCGGGGGUGAAAGCCCAGAGCUCAACUCUGGAAUUGCCUUCGAUACUGGCGGUCUGGAGCAGAGAAGAGGCGAGUGGAAUUCCGAGUGUAGAGGUGAAAUGCGUAGAUAUUCGGAGGAACACCAGUGGCGAAGGCGGCUCGCUGGUCUCUUGCUGACGCUGAGGAGCGAAAGCGUGGGGAGCAAACAGG
rnacentral:rRNA from 1 species